rnacentral:rRNA from 1 species
UACGUAGGGGGCGAGCGUUGUCCGGAAUUAUUGGGCGUAAAGGGUGCGUAGGCGGCAUUUUAAGUCAUUUGUGAAAUUCUACGGCUUAACCGUAGACUUGCAGGUGAAACUGGGAUGCUUGAGUGCAGGAGAGGAGAACGGAAUUCCUGGUGUAGCGGUGAAAUGCGUAGAUAUCAGGAGGAACACCAGUGGCGAAGGCGGUUCUCUGGACUGUAACUGACGCUGAGGCACGAAAGCUGGGGUAGCGAACAGGAUUAGAUACC